GCUCCACAAAAAAUUAAAAUAAAACCUCACCGAUUCUGCUCUCCAUUCCUCAUGUUUUACAGUUAUUAUUGUGUCAGUAGAGAUCAUGAAUGAUUGAAGGAUAAAAUUUGGUGCAGGUGUAUUGCUUCCAGCCUAUAUAUAUUGCUAAAAUCAACAGUACGUUAAGUUGCAAAGAGAUAUUAAAUCAUAUAGUUAUUCUUGUGCUACCAGCCUACCAUUACACUUGGAAGAGAAUGGAGAAGGCAACGUUGAUUAAGAUUUUCUUGGUCUCUUUUUUUCUUAUUUUGUUAGGACAAGGAAGUAAUGGGCUUUCGUGCAAUGAAGAUGAUGAAUGUAUUAGCAAAGGGCUUGUGUGCGAACAUGAGGCUCCAGUAUGUUGUUGGAAAAAAUGCUAUUGUCCUGUAUGUGACAUAAGGACACGUACUUGCUCUUGUCCAACAACUUAUCAUGGACAAAAAGUCCUUGAGACCAACGAUAAAGAUUAAUUCAUGUUAUUUUGUUACUAUUUAUAAUGAUAAAUAAAAGUAUCCUAUGUUCAUUUUGAAAUUGGAAAAUGAUUUACUCUGUUUGAAUUGAAAGGAGCUGAAAGC